CGAAGGGGGCAAGCGUUAUUCGGAAUUACUGGGCGUAAAGAGCGUGUAGGUGGUUAUCUAAGUCAGUUGUUAAAUAUCACGGCCUAACUGUGAGACUGCGAUUGAUACUGGAUGACUAGAGGGCAGGAGAGAGAAGUGGAAUUCUCGGAGUAGCGGUAAAAUGCGUAGAUCUCGAGAGGAACACCGAUGGCGAAGGCAGCUUCUUGGUCUGUCCCUGACACUCAAAUGCGACAGCGUGGGGAGCAAACAGGAUUAGAUACCCUGGUAGUCCACGCCGUAAACGAUGAUCACUAGAUGUGGGUUGUGCCUAGCACGAUCCGUGUCGAAGCUAACGCGUUAAGUGAUCCGCCUGGGGAGUACGGUCGCAAGAUUA
rnacentral:rRNA from 1 species